rnacentral:lncRNA from 1 species
UUGAUUUUCUUCUAUGUCUAGGUAGGAGUUUCUUCUCCAAGAUUAAUUGUAGACUUGUAGUUUAGUUUACUUCUCUCAAUUUCUCUCACACAGUAACCCACUAACAUUCGCCAUAUCUUUAAUUGGUAAACUUUUUAUUAAUCAGUUGUGAGGGAUAACUUUAUUGUUGUUCAGUAGAAGGUGCAGCAGGUUAUUCCGUCACUUUCAGUUGGUAAAUCAAAGGUAUGAUUGUUUAGUAGAAAGUGCAGCAGGUUAUUCCGUCACUUUCAGUUGGUAAAUCAAAGGUAUGGUCUUCCUCUCGC